rnacentral:rRNA from 1 species
AUACGGAGGGUGCAAGCGUUGUCCGGAUUUAUUGGGUUUAAAGGGUGCGUAGGUGGUUUUUUAAGUCAGUGGUGAAAGCCUACAGCUUAACUGUAGAGGUGCCAUUGAAACUGGAAGACUUGAGUAUGGACGAGGUAGGCGGAAUUUGUGGUGUAGCGGUGAAAUGCAUAGAUACCACAAAGAACACCGAUAGCGAAGGCAGCUUACUAGGCCAUAACUGACACUGAGGCACGAAAGUGUGGGGAGCGAACAGAAUUAGAAACCCUAGUAGUCC